GGUCUCCCUCUGUGAGGCGAUCGAUUGCGGGACUCCGCGAUUGAUCGCCCAGCAGAGGGAGGCC
rnacentral:pre_miRNA from 1 species